rnacentral:rRNA from 1 species
GAUGAACGCUGGCGGCGUGCUUAACACAUGCAAGUCGAACGGAAAGGCCCAAGCUUGCUUGGGUACUCGAGUGGCGAACGGGUGAGUAACACGUGGGUUAUCUGCCCUGCACUUCUGGCUACGCCUGGGAAACUGGGUCUCAUACCGGAUCGGACUAUGGUUUGGAUUCCUUUUUGGAAAGUUUUUUCGGUGUGGGAUGAGCUCGCGGCCUAUCAGCUUGUUGGUGGGGUAAUGGCCUACCAAGCCGUCGACGGGUAGCCGGCCUGAGAGGGUGUACGGCGACAGUGGGACGGAGAGACGGGGCAGAGACCGACGGGAGGGAGAAGUGGGGAAUAUAGGACAAUGGGGGAAAGAGUGAGGCAGAGAGGCGGCGUGGGGGAGGAGGGGCUUCGGGGUGUAAAAGCCUGUCGCUAGGGACGAAGAGUGUUUGUGACGGUACCUGGAGAAGAAGCACCGGCUAACUACGUG